CGGCUGGGCUCGUUCCUACAGCACCGAAUUGCGAGUCUGAAAAAAGCACUUGGUCGCCGCAAGGAAGAUGGCAGGAGGGCCACAGGGAGACCUUGCUUCGAUGAGAUGCCUGAAGCCAGAGAAUCCAAAACAUGGUCGUUCUCAAACGGUGGUCUGGGGACCCGCGAGGAUCCUCCGGAACUUUCAGGUGAGUAAUGGGGUCAAAACUCUGUUAAUAAUAAUCCUAAGGCAUUACCUUCCCUUGUUCUCACUCUUCCAUGAGUGUAUAGUCAGUUUGCCUGCCUGGAGUCUGUCUUUGCCUCUUGACCUUGACUGCUUUGUUUCCUAUC
rnacentral:lncRNA from 1 species